CCCUUGGUAGCGCAAUUGGUUAACGCGCGCCUUCGUAAGAGUGAAAUGCGGGUUCGAUCCCGCCUAAGGUU